rnacentral:lncRNA from 10 species
GUGAGUUCUCACGAGAUCUGAUGGUUUUAUAGCCGUCUGGCAUUUCUCCUGCUGCCUCCCGAAGAAGGUGCCUGCUUUUGCUUCGCCUUCCGCAAUAGCUGUAAGUUUCAUGAAACCUCCCUCCCCAGGCAGGCAGAACUGUGAAUCAAUUGAACCUCUUUUCUUUAUUAAUUACCCAUUGUUGGGUAUUUCUUUUUAGCAGCAUGAGAACGGACAGGACCCAUUCAAAUGUUAAAGGUGGAAGUAUGGGUCAUGAACUCCUAAAAGAGGCUGGAUGGCGUCCUGAACCACCUUGCAUCUCCCCACUGUUACUAAGCGUCUGUGAUGAUUCAGCAACACCAAAGGGCCCACAUUUCUCCAGAGGAGACAGUGAAUGGUGA